GACGUACGCUGGCGGCGUGCUUAACACAUGCAAGUCGAGCGGUAAGGCCCUUUCGGGGGUACACGAGCGGCGAACGGGUGAGUAACACGUGGGUGACCUGCCCUUAGCUCUGGGAUAAGCCUGGGAAACUGGGUCUAAUACCGGAUAUGACUCCAUAACGCAUGUUGUGGGGUGGAAAGCCUUGUGCGGCUAGGGAUGGGCCCGCGGCCUAUCAGCUUGUUGGUGGGGUGAUGGCCUACCAAGGCGACGACGGGUAGCCGGCCUGAGAGGGCGACCGGCCACACUGGGACUGAGACACGGCCCAGACUCCUACGGGAGGCAGCAGUGGGGAAUCUUGCGCAAUGGGCGAAAGCCUGACGCAGCGACGCCGCGUGGGGA
rnacentral:rRNA from 1 species